GACGAACGCUGGCGGCGUGCUUAACACAUGCAAGUCGAACGGAAAGGCCCUGCUUUUGCGGGGUGCUCGAGUGGCGAACGGGUGAGUAACACGUGAGUAUCCUGCCCUUGACUGUGGGAUAACUUCAGGAAACUGCGGCUAAUACCGGAUAGGAGCUCCUGCUGCAGGGUGGGGGUUGGAAAGUUUCGGCGGUUGGGGAUGGACUCGCGGCUUAUCAGCUUGUUGGUGGGGUAGUGGCUUACCAAGGCUUUGACGGGUAGCCGGCCUGGGAGGGUGGCCGGCCACAAUGGGCCUACGAUACGGCCCAGACUCGUACGGGAGGCAGCAGUGGAGAAUAUUGCACAGUGGGCGGGAGCCUGAUACGGCAACGCCGCGUGCGGAAUGACGGCCUUCGGGUUGUAAACCGCUUUCGCCUGUGACGAAGCGUGAGUGACGGUAAUGAGUAAAGAAGCACCGGCUAACUACGUG
rnacentral:rRNA from 1 species